rnacentral:snRNA from 1 species
UUCAGCCCUUUGUCGCUAAGAUU